rnacentral:rRNA from 1 species
GUGGGGAAUAUUGGACAAUGGGCGAAAGCCUGAUCCAGCCAUGCCACGUGAGUGAUGAAGGCCUUAGGGUUGUAAAGCUCUUUCAGUAGGGAAGAUAAUGACGGUACCUACAGAAGAAGCCCCGGCUAACUUCGUGCCAGCAGCCGCGGUAAUACGAAGGGGGCUAGCGUUGUUCGGAUUUACUGGGCGUAAAGCGCACGUAGGCGGAUUGGUCAGUUAGAGGUGAAAUCCUGGAGCUCAACUCCAGAACUGCCUUUAAUACUGCCAGUCUAGAGUCCAGAAGAGGUGAGUGGAACUCCUAGUGUAGAGGUGGAAUUCGUAGAUAUUAGGAAGAACACCAGUGGCGAAGGCGGCUCACUGGUCUGGUACUGACGCUGAGGUGCGAAAGCGUGGGGAGCAAACAGGAUUAGAAACCCUAGUAGUCC